CACCUACAGCCCCUCGAGCGCUCUGUGCGCUGACAGUAACAUAAACAACAUUGACAAAACGAGACAAUGCAUUUUAUUAAGGCAGCACCUGCACAAGACACAGCACUGUGUGCUGAUGUUCAAGGACUUUCUCUUAUGAGACUACUGUGGAACUUCAUCAGACAUGUCAUCGAUCCAGUAGGACGUAUUCUCUUACUUUUUGCUUCCUGCCGGCCAUAUGUGCGAGCUCGUUUCUGUGUCAUGUCACCAAUACUUCCUCUGAAUCCAUCCGGAAGACCUAUCAUCAUGUACAGUAUACGGUUACACUGGUGCUGUUCGACAUCAACCUAG
rnacentral:lncRNA from 1 species